AAUUAGUGGCAGACGGGUGAGUAAUGCAUAGGAAUCUACCUAGUAGUAUAGGAUAGCCACUAGAAGUGGUGGGUAAUACUGUAUAAUCCCUGCGGGGGAAAGAUUUAUCGCUACAUGAUGAGCCUAUGUUAGAUUAGCUAGUUGGUGGGGUAAUGGCCUACCAAGGCAGUGAUCUAUAGCUGGUCUGAGAGGAUGAUCAGCCACACUGGAACUGAAACACGGUCCAGACUCCUACGGGAGGCAGCAGUGGGGAAUAUUGGACAAUGGGCGCAAGCCUGAUCCAGCUAUGCCGCGUGAGUGAGGAAGGCCUUAGGGUUGUAAAACUCUUUCACUGGGGAAGAUAAUGACGGUACCCACAGAAGAAGUCCCGGCAAACUCCGUGCCAGCAGCCGCGGUAAUACGGAGGGGGCAAGCGUUGUUCGGAAUUAUUGGGCGUAAAGGGCAUGUAGGUGGUUUGGUAAGUUAAAGGUGAAAUGCCAGGGCUUAACCCUGGAGCUGCUUUUAAUACUGC
rnacentral:rRNA from 1 species